AUGGCCAUGACACUCGCACUGAAGGAAGACAACCACAAUGGCAUUGGGGUGGCCAAGGAUGAUGCUAAUGACAACUAGACUGAGGCCAACAUAUUAUUAUGUCAAAAAAUGGAACAAAUAUAAAACGGAAAGGCCAAGAGGGGGAGAGGCCGAAGAGCUUUGAGCCUCGCAUUCUCACCUCAUCCACAACCAAAAACUGACCAACAAAGCCACCAGCAAAGAGGUCAAAAAGGCCAACGCAGAGACCAAGGUAAUAAACAAACGAGAAGCGGUGAAAUGGGGAAGGGGAGGGAAAUGAAGGAUCGUUGCCAGGAAGAGACGCC
rnacentral:lncRNA from 1 species